rnacentral:rRNA from 1 species
GACGAACGCUGGCGGCGUGCUUAACACAUGCAAGUCGAACGAAGUGGCGAACGGGUGAGUAACGCGUAAUCAACCUGCCCUUCAGAGGGGGACAACAGUUGGAAACGACUGCUAAUCCCGCAUACUGAAGGAGGGGAUUGCGUCUGAUUAGCUCGGUGGAGGGGUAACGGCCAACCAAGGCGAUGAUCAGUAGCCGGGCUGGGAGGAGGAACGGCCAAAUUGGGAAUGGGACACGGCCCAGACUCCUACGGGAGGCAGCAGUGGGGAAUCUUCCGACAUGGACGAAAGUCUGACGGAGCAACGCCGCGUGAGUGAUGACGGCCUUCGGGUUGUAAAGCUCUGUUAAUCGGGACGCGGUACCGGAAUAGAAAGCCACGGCUAACUACGUGCCAGCAGCCGCGGUAAUUC